rnacentral:rRNA from 1 species
CCUAACACAUGCAGUCGAAUGUGACUGUGCGGCAGCAGCAAUGCUGUGGUGCAGUUGCAUGGCGGGACGGGUGCACAACACGUGGGGACCUACCCCGCAGGUUCGGAAUACCGGCGCGAAAGCGCUGAUAAUACCGGAUAGGUCUGUCCAAAGUCACUUUGGCAAACAAAGGGCCAUCGCACGAUGGUCUGCCUCGGGCGGGGCCUGCGUCCGAUUAGCUCGUUGGUGAGGUAAUGGCUUACCAAGGCGACGAUCGGUAGCUGGUCUGAGAGGAUGAUCAGCCACACUGGGAUUGAGAACGGCCCAGACUCCUACGGGGGGCAGCAGUGAGGAAUUUUCGUCAAUGGGGGCAACCCUGAACGAGCAACGCCGCGUGCAGGACGAAGGUCUUCGGAUCGUAAACUGCUUUUCUCGGGGACGACACACGACGGUACCCGAGGAAGAAGCCCCGGCUCACUACGUGCCAGCAGCCGCGGUAAGACGUAGGGGGGCAAGCGUUAUCCGGAUUGAUUGGGCGUAAAGCGCUCGCAGGCGGGUCCGUGCCGUCUCGGCUGACAAUUCCUCUCUUAACGAGGAGGAGCGUCGGGAUACCCACGGACUUGAGGACGGGAGAGGCUGUCGGAAUUCCGGGUGGAGCGGUGAAAUGCGUAGAGAUCCGGAGGAACAUCAACAGCGAAGGCAGACAGCUGGCCCGUCUCUGACGCUCAGGGGCGAAAGCUCGGGGAGCGAACAGGAUUAGAUACCCUGGUAGUCCGAGCCGUAAACGAUGACCACGAGGCGUGGGAGGUAUCGACCCCUUCCGUGCCGGAGCUAACGCGUUCAGUGGUCCGCCUGGGGAGUACGGUCGCAAGAUUCAAACUCAAAGGAAUUGACGGGGACCCGCACAAGCAGCGGAGCGUGUGGUUUAAUUCGAUGCAACGCGCAGCACCUUACCAGGACUUGACAUGCAUUUGCUACACGGGGUAAUGCCCGUUCUGUCGGCUUAUGCCGGCAGCAGGUGCACAGAUGCUGCAUGGCUGUCGUCAGCUCGUGUCGUGAGAUGUUGGGUUCAGUCCCGCAACGAGCGCAACCCCUGCCGUGAGUUACUUUCUCUCACGGAACUGCCGCGCAAGGCGUGGAGGAAGGCGGGGAUGACGUCAAGUCAGCACGGCUCCGACGUCCUGGGCGACACACACGCUACAAUGGCCACGACAACGGGCUGCCAACCCGCGAGGGGGAGCCAAUCCCAGCAAACGUGGUCUCAGUUCAGAUUGGAGGCUGCAACUCGCCUCCAUGAAGUCGGAGUUGCUAGUAACCGUGGGUCAGCAUACCACGGUGAAUCCGUUCCCGGGUCUUGUACACACCGCCCGUCACACCACGAAAGUUGGCUUCAGCUUACGCCGCUGCGCUAACCCGCAAGGGGGGGCAGGCGUCUCGGCUGCGGCCGGUGAUUGGGGUG